rnacentral:rRNA from 1 species
UAUGUAGGCGGUUCGGAAAGUCAGAUGUGAAAGCCCGGGGCUCAACCCCGGAACUGCAUCCGAUACUCCCGAACUAGAGUAAUGGAGGGGUAGCUGGAAUUCUCGGUGUAGCAGUGAAAUGCGUAGAGAUCGAGAGGAACACUCGUGGCGAAGGCGAGCUACUGGACAUUUACUGACGCUGAGAUACGAAGGCCAGGGUAGCGAAAG